rnacentral:lncRNA from 1 species
GUUUAAAAUAACAAUAUAACCGGAAUUACGAAAAGAUUUGUCAAAAUGCAAAACAUGUAGAUAUUGCUAUAUUUUAGAUGUUUUGUAAAAAGUAGUGUUACAUACAUUUGUGCGGAUUUUACUCCCACCAAGACACAAAUCAACAUGAAUAAGUAUGUCAACUUAAAACAGAUAUAGUCUGGAAGGUAAAGUUUUUGUUUUGUUUUAUUCAUUCAAUCUUAUGAAAUCAAAAAUAAAAGAUUGUUCAUAUUUUUUGGAAAUAACUGUCGGUUAUACCAGUAUAAAAAAGUGUACAAUAAGAAAGUUUGCUGAUUGAACUACACGAAUGGCUUCUGGUUGUAAUUCGUACACUGUCUUUCUCAAACGUCUGUUCCCACACAAAGUACUGACUCAUUUAAACGGUUCAGUUUGGUAGGAUAAAUAUAGCUAUUACUCAGAAACUCUAUGAAGAUAUGUGUAACCUUUUGGUAAUUGAGUGAAAUUUUGAAACACGUCAUUAGUUAACUCAUUCCGCUUAAUCAUUCCUGUUUUGAUUGAUUUUGUCUUUAUUGAUUUACCUUGAGGUUCGGUACUUUUGUCUUGUACUUAAAAUUAUAUCAUUUUUGUUUGACAAUCAAUUUUGUUUAGGUACUGUCGGUUUAUAUAAUAUUGUGAAUACAUUUCAUUCGCAAUCUUUAUUUUGUAGCCGAUAUUAUUUUGCUUUAUAAAUUAUCCUAUACAAUUUUCCAAUUAGCAUCGUGCCCAAAAUGUAUUAUUCUCCUUAAAGAUAGGAACUAUUCUGUUCAUAAAAUUUACACCAUUUUCUGCAUGACGUUAUCAAUGUGUAGACAAAAUAGAACAAAGUAGAACAUAACUUAUACAAAGACAUGUCGUACUCGCCUUCAGUGUUCAUAUUACCAACACUUAGUAUAGUUGCCAGUUGAAUUAGACGUACACUUUCAUGUUGUAAUAGAAGUUUACUUUUUGUGUAGUUUUUUUAAUGUUAUUGUUGCUCUAAAUUUAUUUUAGCUCGAUACAUUUUUUUUAAAUGGAGAAAAAAUGUUAUACAAGGAUUAUACAGCAAAUAAAGAAUAAGUUUGUAGUUCUUGCAAGGCUAAAUCAUCUGUAGUUAAUCAGACUUCUCAGCAACUUUGCUUUUUACCAUUUCUCACUAUCUGGUGACUGUUUCUGUAAAAGAGGGACGGAAGAUACAAGAGGGACAGUCAAACUCAUAUAUCGAAAAUAAAUUGACAACGCCUGGCUAAAAAUGAAAGAAGACAAUAGACAAACAAUAGAACACAUGACCCAACAUGAAUAAGCAACACGUGGUAAAGAACAUUUUUUAUGACAAUAUCAAUCCUUAGAUCAAUUGCGAUUUUGAAAUAUUUGAGGAUUUCACUGUAUCGACUGUUUAAUUUGUAUAUAUAUUUUUUUAUAUAUAUUACUGUUUCUGUAAAAUUUAUGUAAUAGGCAAAAAACUCCUUCAAGUUGUCUUUUUACAAUUUUCUUAAUAUUUAAUUUGUAGAUUAUUCUUCGAGGAUAUAUUUUAUCCUGCUAAUUAUUUUAUGCAGUUUGUCGGUUAUGCCAUUUCAAUGUGAAAUUGACUUUUCAUUGAAAUUUCAAAAGAAUGAUUCCAUUGUUCUGAAACUUCCUCAUGUUUCGAUCAUUUUAUUUUAUGUUAGUAAACAUACAUAGCCAGCUCAUUUUCAUUAUUGAAAUAUUCUGCAAUGUCUUCCCGUUUUCGCUACGAUUUUACAAAUUUCUAAAGUUGCUAUAAACAAAUAUUCCCCCGCCCUAUUAUCUGUUAUUUAAUAGAUUAUGUAUUAUAACUCAGAACAAACAACCAUCGAAAGAAAAUAAAUUUUGAAAUAAUAUUUGAAAGUGUUCUGCACGAUCGACAAGGAUAUAUUUUCAAUAAAGGAAGUACAACUGUGUUUUGUUGAUCAAUAAAUCUAUUUAAGUCCAUUUCAAAACCGUUUAUAAACCUUGCAGAGCUGUCAAAACCGAAAAAAAGUUGUAAAUUGUUCUUGCUUUAGAUUUUACUUCUAACCUUUGGAACUAUAGAAUUAUAUGUAAAACUACAGUCAUACUUAUUCAUUGUAAUUGCACAGAACGUAGAGUACCUGAAUCUAGUAUUAUGGAGGAAAACAUAACAUUAUUACAACAAGACCUAUCAAUGAGCAGUCAACGCUAAAAAACAUGAAAACAGAAAAUAUUAGAAAGGUAUACUAUUAGAUUUGUUUAUUUCCAAUGAAACCAUAUAUUUAGAUGUUAACAUAUUAAAUCAAUAUGUUAUUUCUGAAUAAGUUCGAUUUAGCAAAAACAAAUUUAUGUAACACACUUAAACCGAAAGUAUGACCAAAUCAUUGUAAAUGAAUCUUGUUUUUACAAUUAGUUCGUUUCUUUUUAAUUAUUCACUUUCCAAAUAUCGAUCGAGGUGUCUAUUUUCUAAGUACAAUUUGUUUUUGUUUGUAUGCCAAAAUAUACGAAGCCAAACAAAUAACCGUUGUUUUCAACUUAAAAUUUGCCAGAUAAAAUGUGAACAUGUUUUCUUUCUUAUUAUUGCUGUAGAAAUUACUGAACUGUUAAAUUUCGUCCAUUUAAAAGAUUGGUGGUGUCCUUUUUGUAUAUCCAGGUGGGCAUGAAACUAUUUCAUAUAUUAUCACUAUAUUCUAGAACCUAUUUAUUUUAGGGUGUUAUAUUAUUAAUUAAAAAACAGUCCGGUUUUGAAAAGUUCAUCGGAAGGUCCCAAUACGCUUUUCAUAUUAAUAUUUGUUAUCAAGUUCACAAAUAUUACUCGUUGGUCAUGAAGUAAACAUUUUUGGUACAUACUUUGUUUAUCAUCUUAAUAAUGUGUUAUAGAUAGUAUUUGUUUCUUUUUCUAUAUGAAUAUUGCUUUUGACAAAAAGUACACGAGAAACCAUCAAUUAACUUUUGCAUAUCUUUGAAUCAAAAAUUGACACUUGUAUGGGUCCGUAUGUUAGUCAAUCAAUCACUUACUGUUAUAUCAUUUUGUUUUAAUAUUGACUACUUUCAUCACUAAUUAAACUUUGUCAAUUUCCGUAUUCAUCCUACCGGCCAUACUAAGAGUAUUUCAAAUUGCCUUAAGUUUUAAUAUUAUCACCAACCUAUUUUUAUCAAAUAGGAGAACUAAAGGACAUAUUUAUAAAUACUUCCGCAAACUGGGAUAUAUUGAUAAGGAAAUAAUUAUAAAGUUUCAACCAAAUAGAAUUUGUUAAAUUUAGCUUUCUAUAUAUUUUUUUUCAUUUUGAUCAAUCAGGUUUUUAAUUUUUUCCAUACGAAACAUUACAGUUACAUUUCGUCGUGUACCAGUUUUAAUUCAGUUUUAUAUUUAUCUUUUAAACCUGAAACAGAACAAAAUACAAAAUCAUUCAAAACCCAAACAAUUAUGAUUAUGAUUAUGUACACAUAAGACAAGUUAAUUACACAUUUCAAUUAUUGGUAGAUCAUUGGAAGUUACGUUACGUUUUAUUAAUUUCUAGUGAUGUUACUAAAAUGUUACGUUGAAGACCUGUUGGUGACCCUCUGCUGUUGUUUUUUAUUUGGUCGGGUUGUUGUCUCUUUGACACAUUCCCCAUUUCCAUUCUCAAUUUUAUUUUAUUAUUGUAAUAUCAUAAACUAUAAUUGUUGUCAAUUUAAUUUGUUGACACUUCUAAGUAUACAAUUAGUCUAAUUGCGUUCUUCAACAUUCAAAUAACAUAUACAUAUGGGUUAAAUUCACUUUGUAUUUAUUAUGAUUAAAAUCAGCGUUUAAAAAUAAUUAUGCUACACACAUGUUUGCUACACAUAUCUUCGCUGACAUUGUAACUAAUGACUGCAGUAUGACAGGACUUUAAUAGCAUAAUAGUAAAUACAUAUGUACUUUCUGAAGGACAUACUAAAUCGUAUUUUAUCCCUCAUUAAUUUUUUUAAUUUGAUUAUGAUAUGCCCCAUUAGUGAUUUUAAAUUAAUAAAUAAAACAAUCAACAGGUAGGUAUAUAAGUAUACAAUAUAAUUUAUUCAUUGUAUACGUAAAUUGAAACACCAUACAAUUAUAAAGAAUACAGAUGAUUAUAGAUAGUUUAAAGGACAACAUAACUUUAUCGUGCUUUACAUGAAUUGUACAAUUGUAAAGAAUAAGGUUAAUUAUAGAUAGUUAGAAAAGGUGUUCAGUAGUCUUUCAUGCAAUGAUUUUGGAUGACUAAUUAAAACAUUGUUUAGGCUAUGACACUAGAUUACAUCUCCUAAAAAGGAAACAUACAGCUCUUAUCUGCUGACGAACAGAAAAACUACUAUGUGUACGUGUUUCAAUGUUCAUUUUGCAAAUAAUGACUAAACGUGAGUACAAAUGGGCUUUGUUAGUAGGGUUUAAAACUCAUUCUACAUUUUAUAAAUUGAAAACUGUGUAUCUAUAAUUUGAUUAAAUGGUAUGAUAAGUGUUUUGAAAGGUAUAACAAAAAACAAUUAGCUAAAUCAACAUGACACUUUUUAAACGUAUUAUACUCUAGUAUUGUUAAUAUGUAUGUCUGUUAUACAAGACUGUAUUAGUAAAAGUUCAUUUUAUUGUUGCAGGCUAGAGGAUAUAAGAUAUUUGGAAAAAAAAUGACUGUUGGUUCAGUUAACGUAUCUGUCUGAAGCUUUUCAAUAUUCGGUAGAAUUUAAAGAAGAAAGAAAAGAAGAAGAAAUGGAAGAAGC